UACUUGUAUGAUGGAUGGAAGACCUCUUCUUGCCCCGCUUGGAUGAAGACUUCUGCCGGUCUGGAUGUCCUCUUCUGCCCCAUCGGAUGAAGACUUCGGCCCGGCUGGGUGAACACGACUCAAGCUAUUCAAGAUGAAGGACAGAACCUUGAACAUGAAGAAGAGCAACAAUCAAAUUCAUCCAAUUCAACGCAAUGCUAUGAUUGGAUGCCUGAAGAUCAAGAAAUAACUAUCAAUGAAAAAGAAAUUUUGGAUACAAUGCUGGAAGUUGGAAAUAAUUUGAUGAGGACAUACAUAAAAGUGCAAAACUUAAG